CCCAUUAUUUUUAGGUUUUCUUCCAGACAGGUGGACCACUUACGAACUAGAGUCGGCGUGUCUCUUUGAAUCUUAUCACCUCCGAUAACGCUACUGUAAGGACUACAGUUUCUGUCCUCCGUCGUAUUAAAGCAACCAUUAAAGUGAUUCACCCCUACACAAUCAGAUAAAAUCAACUCUCUCAACGACGAACUUCAGCGAUGGUGAAUUCGUGCAUCCUUCUUGCCGAAUUGAAAGCUGUGUGUUGUACAAACAUUGCGGAGGUUCUGAUGCUUACGUUCUGGGAGGCAAGACAUAUCAAAAAAGGAGGCAAGCUUAUGGGAGUCGACAUGCUCCUGCUAGACGAAAAGUCUAUGCUUAUUGAAGGAUCAGUCAAUGUCAACCGUCACUUGCCGACACCUUUUCAGUCCAUAGGUGGUUUGACGUGUAACACGGAGCAACAACAAUUUCCUCCUGUCUGACUCGCCUAUCUCCGUCAGCUUUAAUAAUGGAACGUUAUUUUCAGAAGUAAUGGAGCGGACCGGUCGAAACUGAUACCAACUGAGCACUUCGGAUUCUGUAACCAUGAACAGCUUCUGUCCUUGGCAAAUACCAACAGACAGCUACCUUAUAGCUUACGAAUCUAACUACGUUAUCAACAGACCUCUACUUUUAAAGUUGGAAGACAUCCUAGGUAAGCUCAGUGCAAUCAGACGAUGCUACACAUGGGGCACAUCGGGUAUUGGGUACACUACAUAUAGAAAGGGAUGUGACUGUGUGUGUUAGUCCCUUUGAUGGCAUAGCCAAAAGUUGUGCUGGUCACUAGCAUUAAUCCCAAAAUAGUUGGAGAUAAGCUGACUAUUCCAUACUUCUAAUACAUUUAUAACUCUAUGAACAAGCAUACUAUGAAAGACUGACUUUCAAACAAUGAAAGCAUUCCAUUGACUAACAAUCCAUUAUGCAGGCCGACUAUCUCUACUUGACUCUGAGACAUCUACUGGAAAAGAAUAGUAUGAAAAGUUUGUUGGUGAUGGGACAAACCAGACUACCUCUUCAUCAAAGCUUCUUCAUGUCCACAAAAAUUGAAACUCACGGUUUCUGAGCCCAACCAAUACGUUAUCACAUCUGAGCUUCAGAUGAUUGAGUUCCUCUGUGCCACCAAAGUAACUAGAAUUCAGGCAGAGAAAGAAUGGUGUUAUAUUGGUUGCUGGAAAUUGUCAAAGAAGCUCCAGCGGGAAAUCUCUUCUUUUACAUGCAUCGUAUUUGAUAAAACCAACGAUGUGGGUGUCCUCAGGUAUCGUGUAGAGCUUUCAGUAUCAGACAAAGCGGAUGAUGCUGUCUGCCUUGCGUGGAAUGCUCAAAUCCCCACUACAGUUACCUAUCUUUUUAAAUCGUUACUACAUUUGCUUAUCAACUUUUGUUUUAGCUACUCUUUCUAUUUAAGUUAAACUCAAUGUACUGGUGGAUGUUUGAUAUUUUAACAUUUUCUUUAAGACUCAA